UACGGAGGGUGCGAGCGUUGUCCGGAAUCACUGGGCGUAAAGGGCGCGUAGGCGGCCUGAUAAGUAGGGGGUGAAAUCCUGCGGCUUAACCGCAGGGCUGCCUUCUAAACUGUCAGGCUAGAGCACAGUAGAGGCAGGUGGAAUUCCAAGUGUAGCGGUGAAAUGCGUAGAGAUUUGGAGGAACACCAGUGGCGAAGGCGACUUUCUGGUCUGUAACUGACGCUGAGGCGCGAAAGCGUGGGGAGCAAACAGG
rnacentral:rRNA from 1 species